rnacentral:misc_RNA from 1 species
UUAUUGCUAAUUUUUCUGUGCGGCGUGCGCGUGAAAGCGUGGUUAUUCUCUGGCGUCUGACAGCAGUGUGUUUUCGAAUAGACGAUAUAAUUUUAACGUCUAGAAAUGGCUGAACUCGUUCAGAGAAAUAUCGAGGGCUUCAUCCCCGAAUUGGAGCAAAUGGAAAGGACUGGUCUAGUCACUAGAGAUCAAGUCAGAGAGAUCCUGAGGCGCAGGAAACGGUUCGAGUAUCGUCUGCGUCGAAGAAAGAAGUCCAAAGAAGACUACUUGACUUACAUUCAGUAUGAACUGAACCUGUAUGAGCUGCUUCAAAAGAGAAGAGCAAGGCUCCGAAUAACAGACAAAAGGCCCGAGAUUGAUCUCAUGAUUGCAAAGAGGAUCAACAAGCUUUUUAAGAAAGCUGUACUCAUGUUCAGUGGGGACUCGAAGCUGUGGCUGUCACACAUUGAUUUUUGUGUGCGCAUGGGCUGGAACCAUGCUGUGGGAACACUUUACACCCGCAUGCUAAAUCUUCAUAGUCACAGGCCAGAGAUCUGGGUGGCCGCUGCAAAGUGGCAGCUGGAGUGCAACUCCUCUCCAGAAAUGGCUCGUAAGCUGCUUCAGCGGGGGUUGUUGUUCAACAGCAAGUCAUUCCUGCUCUGGCAUGAGUACUUCCGCAUGGAACUGAUUUUCGUUGACAAGAUGAGAAAAAGGAAGGAAGUUCUUGGCAUUGAGGAUAAAAAGGAUGAUGGAGAAGCUGAAGAUGCUGUGCUCAAGGCAAAGAUCCCUUCACUCAUCUACGAUGCAGCUGUCAAGUCCAUUCCAGGCAUUGAUUUUGCCUUGUCCUUCCUGCCCAUCUGUGAUGCCUUUGACUUUGCUGACCACUUGGCAGAGCGGAUACUGGAAGAUGUGCAGACUCGACAUCCGAAUCAAGAGCAGGUGUGGGAUGCCAUGGCAAGAAGGCAGCUCGUUUGCAAGGAUGAUACAGUGGGGCCUCUUGCUGAAAAUGUUGUACACGGUGAAAAAAGAGGUGCUGCAGCAGCUAGGGCCAUCUUCGAGCAAGCUCUUGUACGGCUCCCAACAGAGACAAUGUGGAAGCUGUACAUUCAGUUCCAAUUGGAACUCUUGGAGCAGUCCAGCAGUGAGAAACAGGCCGCAAAGAGGCUACGUCAAGUAGACACUCUGAUGGAGAGGGCUUCGAAUGAAGAGCUGCUGACAUUUGAACACCAUCGGGAAUGGGUGAAGCUUCUGCAGAGCUGUAAAGAACACGAAGCUGCCUUGGCUUGUGCUCAGGCUAGUGCCAAAAGGUGGCCAAGAUCUGUUGAUGCUUGGCUCCUGUUGCUUGAAUUGCUCAUUGCAAGAGGACCUGGGGCUGAAGAUGUGCUUAAAGCUUUUGAAGAGGCCCUGUCUGCCAUUCCCAAACAGGAGUCCCUGCCAGUCUGGAAGCGAGCCAUGGAAUUUCUUUCUUCAGAAUCCCCAGAGGAAACAAUACCUUUUUUUGAGAAUGCUGCACCUCAAGCCCCUGUCACUUGCCUUUUUUCAGCGCAUGAUUGACAUGGAGAAUUCCAGCGCUCAACCAGAUGCGGACAAAUUGAGGAGUUACUUUGAAAAUGCAGUAGCUGAGUUUGGGGAAACAAAUUUUGAUCUCUGGAUGAAGUACAUCUUGUUUGAGCUGAAACAUCCAGAAGGAAAGCC